UACAGAGGUCCCAAGCGUUGUUCGGAUUCACUGGGCGUAAAGGGUGCGUAGGUGGUGAGGUAAGUCGGAUGUGAAAUCUCCGGGCUCAACCCGGAAAUGGCAUUGGAAACUACCUUGCUAGAGGGUUUGAGGGGGGUGGAAUUCCACGUGUAGCAGUGAAAUGCGUAGAGAUGUGGAGGAACACCGAUGGCGAAGGCAGCCCCCUGGGCCAACACUGACGCUCAUGCACGAAAGCGUGGGGAGCAAACAGG
rnacentral:rRNA from 1 species